GCGCGCAUGCGCCGUGCGGUCCUUCGCCCCGGGCGCCCUGGCAGGGGGCGAGGCUCUGCGGAACUCCCGGAGCUGGCGCCAGGGAACAAGUCUCAGUGGAGAGCCUCGAAUUUUAAAAGUCUCAUUUAAGUAUUUCUUUUGGUUUUCCUUGUAUAAAUAUAGCUAACUUUUAAACAUUUCUUUUCCGGCUUGUGUUGUUUGCUUUGGACCCUUCAGCACCUAUUUUUAAACGUUAAGCAUUCCCCAGUCAGCAUGAAAGUUUUACUGUUAGUUUUAUUUUGUUCCUAUAAUUUUGAUUCCCCCCAGAAACUGCCACAGAUGAAAUCAAGCCAAUAGAAUUGAAAGCAAAGAUCACCUGGUGGCCAUGAAGCCGACCAUCCUUAGGCAGAAACUCCUUACCUGAGGAAUUUAGAGAUUACAAUGAUUCCACCUACAGAUGAUUAUGUAAUCCCAAUACCAGCCUGCAACAGCAACUUCCACAUAUAUGGGGCCUCUUGAUGGAAUCCGGUGUCUCCUGUCCCCACGCCAUCUGCAAUCAAUUGUGACUGCACUGACCUGCAUAAAAUUCACACGUUCUGAGAGAAAAGCAGUAUUUUUAGGACAAAGGAGAACAAAUCAGGAGCGUGAGAAAGGAAACUCUGCUGUCCCUGGACAACCUCCUCCUGAUUAGUCUGGCAUGAAAGCAAGGGAAAGCCAUCAAGAAAGUAACAGAAAACUCACAGGAUGGACAAAAUAUUUGUAAUUCAUAUAUCUGACAAGGGAUUUGUAUCCAGAGUGUAUAUAAAUGCAUAUGUACAUGUGUAUGUAUGUAUGAAUACUCUUACAACCAAAAAAACCCAAUCAAAAAAAAAGGGCAAAAGAUUUAAUAGGCAUUCUCAAAAGAAAAUAUACGAAUGACCAAUAACUGUAUGAAAAGGUCCUCAACAUCAUUAGUUAUUAGGGAUAUGAAAACCAAAACUGUAAUGAUACAUUACUUAACACCCACUAGGAGGAAAGCUAAAAUAAAAAACACAGUAACAAGUGUUGGUGAAGAUAUAAAGAAACAGGAAAUCCCGUACACGGCUGGUGGGAAUAUAAAUAUAAAAUGAUGCAGCUUCUUCAGGAAACAGUUUGGCAGUUUGGCAAAAAGCUAAAUAUAGAUUUACUGUAUGAGUCAGCAAUUCUCCCAAGAGAAAUGAAUGCAUAUAUACACAUAAAAACUUAUGUGAAUAUUCAAAGUAGCACUAUUCACAAUAGCCAAAAAGUGAAAACAACUCAAAUGUCCAUCAACCAAUGAAUAAACAGAUUCCAUUUUAUAGAAUAUUGUUUAGCAAUAAAAAGGAACAAAGUAUUGAUACAUGCUACAACACUGAAAUUUGAAAACACUAGGCUAAGUAUAAGAAGCCAGUCAUGGCUGGGUGCAGUGGCUCACGCAUGUAAUCGCAGCAUUUUGGGAGGCCGAGGUGGAUGGAUGACCUGAGGCUGGGAGUUCAAGACCAGCCUGGCUAACAUGGUGAAACCCCAUCUCUACUAAAAAUACAAAAUUAGCUGCGCAUGGUGAUAUGUGCCUGUAAUCCCAGCUACUCAGGAGGCUGAGGCAGGAGAAUCACUUGAACCUGGGAGGUGGAGGUUGCAGUGAGCCGAGAUUGCGCCACUGUACUCCAGCCUAGGUGACAGAGGGAGACUCCGUCUCCAAGAAAAAAAAAAAAAAGCCAGUCACUAAAACACAUGUAUUAAAUGAUUCCAUUUAUGUGAUCUGUCUAGAAUGGGCAAAUUCAUGGAGACAGAGAAUAAAUUAGUUGUUGCCUAGGACUAGGGUGGAAGAGGAGACAACCAGGGAAUGGAGAAUAAAUGCUAAUGUGUACAAGGUUUCUUUUUCUGGAGGUGUUGAAGAUGUUCUAAACUUAAAUGGUGGUGAUGGCUGCAUGACUCUGUGACUAUACCAAAAAUGAAUGCAUUAUAUACUUUAAGUGAACUAAUUUCAUGAUAUGUGAAAUUAUCUCAAUAAAGCCAUAAAAAUAUUAAAACAAAAAAAGUUUAAAAAAAGUCAAAACAAAGGCACUGGCACCAAGUCUUAACAGUGCCUUGAAGAAAGUCAGCGUUAAGUCCCAAAUAAAGUACUACUAGACACGAUUAUAUACCAUUGAAAGGCUCUUCUUGCAAGGGUUAAGCUAUGUCUGAAAAUAAAUCCAAAAGGAGUUCCAAUAUAAUUUUAAUGUCAAUGUUGUUAGAAAAUGAGAUGUUUUGAAGACUGAUCAGUGGCUAUAAAUUACUCACUUGGCUGUAAAUUACUCAUUUUUAUUCAUGGUUUUAUAAUUCAAGUACAUUCCUUAAAAAACAAAAAUACUCUUUAUCCCGUAACCUCACUUGCAUAAGUCUCAGAAGUUACACUGCAUAUGAAAUAAGGAAUAUGUGAUUAGAUAAAAGGAAAAGUUCCAAUAACAAAGGUACUGUAUUGUACACAGGCAUUAAUUGCUUUAACACACUGCUAAAAAAAUCUUUAAAAGUAAUUCUUACUAGGGCUGAAUUGAUUUGGAGGAAUGAGGAGUGACUGCUAAUGCAUAUGAGGUUUCUUUCUGGUAUGAAUAAAAUAUUCUAAAGUUGAUUAUGGUGAUGGUUACACAACUCUGUAGAUAUAGUAAAACCACUGACUUGUAUACUUUA